rnacentral:misc_RNA from 1 species
GUUUUGUAAUUGUACUGAUUGUAGUAGUCCUGAUAUCGUUGGGAGGCACCUUGAUGAUAUCUUUUGCAGUGGAGGUAUUGCUUUUACUUGGUACCUGGUUUACUUCAACUGUUCUUGAAUAUUUUCUGAAUUCAAGAUUGAUUUAUAUGACAUAUUGUGACAUUUCAGACCUUUCAGUUCUUCAAAGUCGCAACCUCGCAGAAUUAGAGAAAGAAAUUUCAUGUUUAUCCUGGCUGACUUCUAUUUUUCUCUAGUGAAGGUCACUUCUAAAUAAUCUCAUAGAUGGUCAACUUUUUAUUUACACGGAAAUUCAUUUUUUUCUUGUAGGAAAUAAUCAAAAAGUACACUA